CCUAUGGGAGGCAGCCGUAGGGAAUUUUCAUCAAUGGGCGCAAGCCUGAACGAGCACUGCCGCGUGAACGAGGAAGGUCUUCGGAUCGUAAAGUUCUGUUGAAGGGGAAAAAGAGCGGAGCGAGGAAAUGGUCUCCGAUUUAUAUUACCCUUCGAGGAAGUCACGGCUAACAACGUGCCAGCAGCCGCGGUAAUACGUAGGUGGCGAGCGUUAUCCGGAAUGAUUGGGCGUAAAGGGUGCGUAGGCGGCCUGCUAAGUCUGGAGUGAAAGGUACCGGCUCAACCGGUACAGGCUCUGGAAACUGGCGGGUUAGAGAGCAGGGGAGGGCGGUGGAACUCCAUGUGGAGCGGUAAAAUGCGUAGAUAUAUGGAAGAACACCAGUGGCGAAGGCGGCCGCCUGGACUGUGACUGACGCUGAGGCACGAAAGCGUGGGGAGCAAAUAGGAUUAGAUACCCUUGUAGUC
rnacentral:rRNA from 1 species